rnacentral:rRNA from 1 species
GACGAACGCUGGCGGCGUGCCUAAUACAUGCAAGUCGAGCGGAAGUUGGAGAGCUUGCUCUUCAACUUUAGCGGCGGACGGGUGAGUAACACGUGGGCAACCUGCCCUGCAGAUCGGGAUAACUCCGGGAAACCGGUGCUAAUACCGAAUAGUUUUCGCCACCUCCUGGUGGCGUACGGAAAGACGGUUUCGGCUGUCACUGCAGGAUGGGCCCGCGGCGCAUUAGCUAGUUGGUGGGGUAACGGCCCACCAAGGCGACGAUGCGUAGCCGACCUGCGAGGGUGAUCGGCCACACUGGGACUGAGACACGGCCCAGACUCCUACGGGAGGCAGCAGUAGGGAAUCUUCCGCAAUGGACGAAAGUCUGAUGGAGCAACGCCGCGUGAGUGACGAAGGUUUUCGGAUCGUAAAACUCUGUUGUGAGGGAAGAGCAAGUACCAAUUAACUACUGGUACCUUGACGGUACCUCACCAGAAAGCCACGGCUAACUACGUGCCAGCCGCCGCAGUAAAAC